rnacentral:rRNA from 1 species
GACGAACGCUGGCGGCGUGCUUAACACAUGCAAGUCGAACGAAGUGGAGAACGGGUGAGUAACGCGUAAUCAACCUGCCCUUCAGAGGGGGACAACAGUUGGCAACGACUGCUAAUACCGCAUACUAGAGGAGGUGAUUGUGUCUGAUUAGGUAGUUGGAGGGGUAACGGCCCACCAAGGCGAUGAUCAGUCGCCGGUCGGCGAGGAGGAACGGGCACAUUGGGACUGAGACACGGCCCAGACUCCUACGGGAGGCAGCAGUGGGGAAUCUUCCGAAAUGGACGAAAGUCUGAAGGAGCAACGCCGCGUGAGUGAUGACGGCCUUCGGGUUGUAAAGCUCUGUUAAUCGGGACGCGGUACCGGAAGAGAAAGCCACGGCUAACUACGUGCCAGCAGCCGCGGUAAUUC